AGAGCGAACGCUGGCGGCAGGCCUAACACAUGCAAGUCGAGCGCCCCGCAAGGGGAGCGGCAGACGGGAGAGUAACACGUGGGAACGUACCCUUCAGUUCGGAACAACCCAGGGAAACUUGGGCUAAUACCGAAUACGUCCGUAAGGAGAAAGAUUUAUCGCUGAAGGAUCGGCCCGCGUCUGAUUAGCUUGUUGGUGAGGUAAUGGCUCACCAAGGCUACGAUCAGUAGCUGGUCUGAGAGGAUGAUCAGCCUCACUGGGACUGAGACACGGCCCAGACUCCUACGGGAGGCAGCAGUGGGGAAUAUUGGACAAUGGGCGCAAGCCUGAUCCAGCCAUGCCGCGUGGGUGAUGAAGGCCCUAGGGUUGUAAAGCCCUUUCGGCGGGGAAGAUAAUGACGGUACCCGCAGAAGAAGCCCGGCUAACUUCGUGCCAGCAGCCGC
rnacentral:rRNA from 1 species